rnacentral:rRNA from 1 species
GCCCAGCUUGCUGGGUGGAUCAGUGGCGAACGGGUGAGUAACACGUGAGCAACCUGCCCUCCACUUCGGGAUAAGCCUUGGAAACGGGGUCUAAUACCGGAUAUGAGCUCGCAUCGCAUGGUGUGGGUUGGAAAGUUUUUCGGUGGGGGAUGGGCUCGCGGCCUAUCAGCUUGUUGGUGGGGUGAUGGCCUACCAAGGCGUCGACGGGUAGCCGGCCUGAGAGGGCGACCGGCCACACUGGGACUGAGACACGGCCCAGACUCCUACGGGAGGCAGCAGUGGGGAAUAUUGCACAAUGGGCGCAAGCCUGAUGCAGCGACGCCGCGUGAGGGAUGACGGCCUUCGGGUUGUAAACCUCUUUCAGCAGGGAAGAAGCGCAAGUGACGGUACCUGCAGAAGAAGCGCCGGCUAACUACGUGCCAGCAGCCGCGGUAAUACGUAGGGCGCAAGCGUUGUCCGGAAUUAUUGGGCGUAAAGAGCUCGUAGGCGGUCUGUCGCGUCUGGUGUGAAAUCCCGAGGCUCAACCUCGGGCUUGCAUCGGGUACGGGCAGACUAGAGUGCGGUAGGGGAGACUGGAAUUCCUGGUGUAGCGGUGGAAUGCGCAGAUAUCAGGAGGAACACCGAUGGCGAAGGCAGGUCUCUGGGCCGCAACUGACGCUGAGGAGCGAAAGCAUGGGGAGCGAACAGGAUUAGAUACCCUGGUAGUCCAUGCCGUAAACGUUGGGCACUAGGUGUGGGGCUCAUUCCACGAGUUCCGUGCCGCAGCUAACGCAUUAAGUGCCCCGCCUGGGGAGUACGGCCGCAAGGCUAAAACUCAAAGGAAUUGACGGGGGCCCGCACAAGCGGCGGAGCAUGCGGAUUAAUUCGAUGCAACGCGAAGAACCUUACCAAGGCUUGACAUGUACGAGAAAGCCCCCGAGACGGGGUUCUCUUUGGACACUCGUACACAGGUGGUGCAUGGUUGUCGUCAGCUCGUGUCGUGAGAUGUUGGGUUAAGUCCCGCAACGAGCGCAACCCUCGUCCUAUGUUGCCAGCGGGUUAUGCCGGGGACUCAUGGGAGACUGCCGGGGUCAACUCGGAGGAAGGUGGGGAUGACGUCAAAUCAUCAUGCCCCUUAUGUCUUGGGCUUCACGCAUGCUACAAUGGCCGGUACAGAGGGCUGCGAUACCGUAAGGUGGAGCGAAUCCCAAAAAGCCGGUCUCA